ensembl:lncRNA
CUCUUUUCUACUGAAGUAAAGCGUGCAACACACUCCGGACAAAAUCUGCACGGUAGCUUUGCGGUAUAAAAUGAGCUACGGAACUGUCCGAGGUUCAAUGGGGUCUCUUCAGAUUUUAACCAGAGCCCGUUAAGCGGGGCCGGUCCCAAUAACUUUAGACACGUUUGCACAGUUGGACCUGUGGGAAGGAAGCGGAGCAGCACCGCGGAAGGAAUUCCUAAAGUGUUGAGCGUCUGCGGCGAAACACUGAGGGAGAAGGAUGUGGUGCACUGUAAUUGCCCUUUCAACGUGAGACAGGGCUUAGCUCACGGACCUUGGUUUACGAUGCCUUGCCUUUGUUAGAGGUGACAGGUGGCAGAAAGCUGCAAGAAAAUGAACUGUGAGAUGUAUAAUUUUCCACUGCAUAUUGAGAUAAAAUGGAGCCUGAAAGAGAACCUGUCUUUAGACUAAUGACAAAGCAUCCAACACAGGGCAUCCAACUGUCCAGAUUUCCUCCAUCGUGUCCAGUGAUUUCUGCUCUGAAUCACCCUCUGGAAGAGCCCCCAUCAGCACACAAUUGCACCCCUGGAGACUUCACUGCCAGGUUAUGUAGCAGUCCCACAAAAUGGCAUCACCUUGCAGCAGACCUGCAGUAGUUAAGCACAAAAUGAAGCAGUGGAGCACUCUUGAUGGCUACAGCACACACCACAGCCCCUGCCAGAAAAUGAUGUGGUGUGAAGCCGACAACUGUCACCUUUUUAACCCACAGUUUGGUUCUAGUGUUCUAUACUCAGAAAAUGUCUGUUCAAGGCCCAGAAUAUUGAGUGGCUUGCUGAUGCAUUCCUUCCCACAUAUACAAACCUGGGCUUUGUUUGUUUUAUUGCUUGCUCUCAUUUCCAAGCCUGCAGCAUACGUGCUUCCCUGCAGUGGGAAGGGCUUAGAGGAAGUCCAUCCUGCAAAAAACACACUCCCUAAGUUGUUGCUUGAUUCUAGGAUCCACAGUUAGAAAACAAACCAAAACAUGGAGGCAGCAGAUGAAACCUCAACUACUGGUAAUGCUG